ensembl:snRNA LOC120093489 U2 spliceosomal RNA
AUCGCUUCUCGGCCUUUUGGCUAAGAUCAAGUGUAAAAAGAAAACAGAAAAUAUAUACAUUUAAGGAAGUUACUUUUUAAUUCGUUUUUUAUCUUCCUCAGGUCUCACAGGUAUUCUUGGUUUUGUUGGCUUGGCUGGUGUACUUUUAUAUGUUGGCUUAACUUCC